rnacentral:rRNA from 1 species
UACGUAGGGUGCGAGCGUUAAUCGGAAUUACUGGGCGUAAAGUGUGCGCAGGCGGCCGAGCAAGUCGAGUGUGAAAGCCCCGGGCUUAACUUGGGAAUUGCGUUCGAAACUACUUGGCUGGAGUGUGGCAGAGGAAGGUGGAAUUCCUGGUGUAGCGGUGAAAUGCGCAGAUAUCAGGAGGAACACCGGUGGCGAAGGCGGGACUCUGGGCCGAUACUGACGCUGAGGAGCGAAAGCGUGGGGAGCAAACAGG